rnacentral:rRNA from 1 species
UACAGAGGGGGCAAGCGUUUGUUCGGAAUUACUGGGCGUAAAGGGCGCGUAGGCGGCCUUCUAAGUCGAACGUGAAAUCCCCGGGCUCAACCCGGGAACUGCGUCCGAUACUGGAAGGCUUGAAUCCGGGAGAGGGAUGUGGAAUUCCAGGUGUAGCGGUGAAAUGCGUAGAUAUCUGGAGGAACACCGGUGGCGAAGGCGACAUCCUGGACCGGUAGUUGACGCUGAG